UUAACCGGAUUAGAUACCCUGGUAGUCCAAGCGGUAAACGAUGGGCACUAGGUGUCGGGGGUCUCGACCCCCUCGGCGCCGCAGCUAACGCACUAAGUGCCCCGCCUGGGGAGUACGGUCGCAAGAUUGAAACUCAAAGGAAUUGACGGGGGCCCGCACAAGCGGUGGAGUAUGUGGUUUAAUUCGAAGCAACGCGCAGAACCUUACCUGGGCUUGACAUGCUUGGGCCAGUCGGUGAAAGCCGAUUUUCCCUUCGGGGACCCUUGCACAGGUGCUGCAUGGCUGUCGUCAGCUCGUGCCGUGAGGUGUUGGGUUAAGUCCCGCAACGAGCGCAACCCUCGUCCUUAGUUGCCUUCAGGUUAUGCUGGGAACUCUAAGGAGACUGCCGGUGACAAGCCGGAGGAAGGUGGGGAUGAC
rnacentral:rRNA from 1 species